AUGAACGCUAGCGACAGGCUUAACACAUGCAAGUCGAGGGGCAGCACAGGUAGCAAUACCGGGUGGCGACCGGCGCACGGGUGAGUAACGCGUAUGCAACUUGCCUAUCAGAGGGGGAUAACCCGGCGAAAGUCGGACUAAUACCGCAUGAAGCAGGGGCCCCGCAUGGGGAUAUUUGCUAAAGAUUCAUCGCUGGUAGAUAGGCAUGCGUUCCAUUAGGCAGUUGGCGGGGUAACGGCCCACCAAACCGACGAUGGAUAGGGGUUCUGAGAGGAAGGUCCCCCACAUUGGUACUGAGACACGGACCAAACUCCUACGGGAGGCAGCAGUGAGGAAUAUUGGUCAAUGGCCGAGAGGCUGAACCAGCCAAGUCGCGUGAGGGAUGAAGGUUCUAUGGAUCGUAAACCUCUUUUAUAAGGGAAUAAAGUGCGGGACGUGUCCCGUUUUGUAUGUACCUUAUGAAUAAGGAUCGGCUAACUCCGUGCCAGCAGCCGCGGUAAUACGGAGGAUCCGAGCGUUAUCCGGAUUUAUUGGGUUUAAAGGGUGCGUAGGCGGCCUUUUAAGUCAGCGGUGAAAGUCUGUGGCUCAACCAUAGAAUUGCCGUUGAAACUGGGGGGCUUGAGUAUGUUUGAGGCAGGCGGAAUGCGUGGUGUAGCGGUGAAAUGCAUAGAUAUCACGCAGAACCCCGAUUGCGAAGGCAGCCUGCCAAGCCAUUACUGACGCUGAUGCACGAAAGCGUGGGGAUCAAACAGGAUUAGAUACCCUGGUAGUCCACGCAGUAAACGAUGAUCACUAGCUGUUUGCGAUACACUGUAAGCGGCACAGCGAAAGCGUUAAGUGAUCCACCUGGGGAGUACGCCGGCAACGGUGAAACUCAAAGGAAUUGACGGGGGCCCGCACAAGCGGAGGAACAUGUGGUUUAAUUCGAUGAUACGCGAGGAACCUUACCCGGGUUUGAACGCAUUCGGACCGAGGUGGAAACACCUUUUCUAGCAAUAGCCGUUUGCGAGGUGCUGCAUGGUUGUCGUCAGCUCGUGCCGUGAGGUGUCGGCUUAAGUGCCAUAACGAGCGCAACCCUUGCCACUAGUUACUAACAGGUAAAGCUGAGGACUCUGGUGGGACUGCCAGCGUAAGCUGCGAGGAAGGCGGGGAUGACGUCAAAUCAGCACGGCCCUUACAUCCGGGGCGACACACGUGUUACAAUGGCGUGGACAAAGGGAAGCCACCUGGCGACAGGGAGCGAAUCCCCAAACCACGUUUCAGUUCGGAUCGGAGUCUGCAACCCGACUCCGUGAAGCUGGAUUCGCUAGUAAUCGCGCAUCAGCCAUGGCGCGGUGAAUACGUUCCCGGGCCUUGUACACACCGCCCGUCAAGCCAUGGGAGCCGGGGGUACCUGAAGUCCGUAACCGCGAGGAUCGGCCUAGGGUAAAACUGGUGACUGGGGCU
rnacentral:rRNA from 1 species